rnacentral:rRNA from 1 species
GACGAACGCUGGCGGCGUGCUUAACACAUGCAAGUCGUACGGUAAGGCCCUUUCGGGGGUACACGAGUGGCGAACGGGUGAGUAACACGUGAGUAACCUGCCCACAACUUUGGGAUAACGCUAGGAAACUGGUGCUAAUACUGGAUAUGUGCUCCUGCUGCAUGGUGGGGGUUGGAAAGCUCCGGCGGUUGUGGAUGGACUCGCGGCCUAUCAGCUUGUUGGUGGGGUAGUGGCCUACCAAGGCGGCGACGGGUAGCCGGCCUGAGAGGGUGACCGGCCACAUUGGGACUGAGAUACGGCCCAGAUUCCUACGGGAGGCAGCAGUGGGGAAUAUUGCACAAUGGGCGCAAGCCUGAUGCAGCAACGCCGCGUGCGGGAUGACGGCCUUCGGGUUGUAAACCGCUUUCAGCAGGGACGAAGCUUUUUGUGACGGUACCUGCAGAAGAAGCACCGGCUAACUACGUG